rnacentral:miRNA from 1 species
AUUAGGUUGGUGCAAAAGUAAUUGCAGUUUUUGCCUUUAAAAGUAAUGGCAAAAACCACAAUUACUUUUGCACCAACUUAAUAUUU